UGGGGAAUAUUGGACAAUGGGGGCAACCCUGAUCCAGCAAUACCGCGUGUGUGAAGAAGGCCUUCGGGUUGUAAAGCACUUUAGUUGGGGAGGAAGGUACGUAUUUUAAGAGAUAACGUAUUUGACUGUACCCAAAGAAUAAGCACCGGCUAACUCUGUGCCAGCAGCCGCGGUAAUACAGAGGGUGCGAGCGUUAAUCGGAAUUACUGGGCGUAAAGGGCGCGUAGGCGGUUAUAUAAGUUGGAUGUGAAAUCCCUGGGCUUAACCUAGGAACUGCAUCCAAGACUGUAAGACUAGAGUGCUGUAGAGGGUAGUGGAAUUUCCGGUGUAGCGGUGAAAUGCGUAGAUAUCGGAAGGAACACCAGUGGCGAAGGCGGCUACCUGGACAGACACUGACGCUGAGGCGCGAGAGCGUGGGGAGCAAACAGGAUUAGAUACCCCCGUAGUCC
rnacentral:rRNA from 1 species